AAAACCGAAAGGUGAGGUAUAUGGGCUGACGCCUGCCCGGUGCUGGAAGGUUAAGGGGAGAGGUUAGCCGUAAGGCGAAGCUUUGAACUUAAGCCCCAGUAAACGGCGGCCGUAACUAUAACGGUCCUAAGGUAGCGAAAUUCCUUGUCGGGUAAGUUCCGACCCGCACGAAAGGCGUAAUGAUUUGGGCACUGUCUCAACAAUGCACCCGGUGAAAUUGAAAUACCAGUGAAGAUGCUGGUUACCUGCGCCAGGACGGAAAGACCCCAUGGAGCUUUACUCCAGCUUGAUACUGGGAUUCGAUAUUGCAUGUACAGGAUAGGUGGGAGACUUUGAACUGAUGACGCCAGUUGUCAGGGAGUCACUGUUGGGAUACCACCCUUGUAGUAUUGGAUUUCUAACCAGCAGCCGUGAACCGGCUGGGGGACAAUGUCAGGUGGGGAGUUUGACUGGGGCGGUCGCCUCCGAAAGGGUAUCGGAGGCGCUCAAAGGUUCCCUCAGGAUGGUUGGAAACCAUCCGAAGAGUGCAAAGGCAGAAGGGAGCUUGACUGUGACACCGACGGGUGGAGCAGGUACGAAAGUAGGACUUAGUGAUCCGGUGGUAUUAAGUGGGAAUGCCAUCGCUCAACGGAUAAAAGCUACCCUGGGGAUAACAGGCUUAUCACUCCCAAGAGUUCACAUCGACGGAGUGGUUUGGCACCUCGAUGUCGGCUCAUCGCAUCCUGGGGCUGUAGUAGGUCCCAAGGGUUGGGCUGUUCGCCCAUUAAAGCGGUACGCGAGCUGGGUUCAGAACGUCGUGAGACAGUUCGGUCCCUAUCCGGCGUGGGCGUAGGAUAUUUGAGAGGAGCUGCCCUUAGUACGAGAGGACCGGGGUGGACUGGCCGCUGGUGGAUCUGUUGUAUUACCAAAUGCAUAGCAGAGUAGCCAAGCCGGGACGGGAUAAACGCUGAAGGCAUCUAAGCGUGAAGCCCCCCUCAAGAUGAGAUAUCCCAUAACGUCAAGUUAGUAAGACCCCUUGAAGACGACGAGGUAGAUAGGGCAGAGGUGGAAGUGCGGUAACGCAUGGAGCUGACUGUUACUAAUAGGUCGAGGGCAUAACCAA
rnacentral:rRNA from 1 species